rnacentral:ncRNA from 1 species
AACCGGGGACGACCCCGGUUUCAUUUCACUCAAGUCCGGGACGGCCCGG